rnacentral:rRNA from 2 species
GGGAGUUGUAAUUUGAAGAAUGCAUUUUUGGUGGCAGCACAAGUCCAUUGGAACAUGGCGCCGCAGAGGGUGACAGCCCCGUCGCAGCACACCAGGCACAAAUGUAAUUCAACGAGUCGAGUUGUUUGGGAAUGCAGCUCAAAGUGGGUGGUAAACUCCAUCUAAAGCUAAAUAUUGGCGAGAGACCGAUAGCGAACAAGUACAGUGAUGGAAAGAUGAAAAGCACUUUGAAAAGAGAGUGAAAAAGUACGUGAAAUUGUUGGAAGGGAAGGGCUUGAAAGGAGUGUCAGCAUCGGUUGCAGGGGGCAGACAAUUGAAAAGAAAUGUAGCGCUUGCGUAUUAUAGUCUUUUUCGAUGUGCCCACCCGCGACCGAGGACCGCUUUACAGGAUGUUGACUUAAUC